rfam:Plicaturopsis crispa FD-325 SS-3 unplaced genomic scaffold PLICRscaffold_5, whole genome shotgun sequence.
ACACCUAUGGUGAAGUGGUUAUCAUGCUUGCCUUCCAUGCCUGAUAGCAAGCGGCACGGGUUCAAUUCCCGUUGGGUGUA